CUACAGAGAGAAAUUUGAGGAUGAGAACUUCAUCCUGAAGCAUACAGGUCCUGGCAUCUUGAGAACGGAAGAGCAGUUCG